rnacentral:rRNA from 1 species
AGUUUGAUCAUGGCUCAGAACGAACGCUGGCGGCAUGCCUAACACAUGCAAGUCGAACGAGACCCCUGACUUCGGUUGGCGGGUCUAGUGGCGCACGGGUGCGUAACGCGUGGGAAUCUGCCCUUGGUUCGGAAUAACUCAGAGAAAUUUGAGCUAAUACCGGAUGAUGACGAAAGUCCAAAGAUUUAUCGCCCAGGGAUGAGCCCGCGUAAGAUUAGCUUGUUGGUGGGGUAAUGGCCUACCAAGGCGACGAUCUUUAGCUGGUCUGAGAGGAUGAUCAGCCACACUGGGACUGAGACACGGCCCAGACUCCUACGGGAGGCAGCAGUGGGGAAUUUUGGACAAUGGGCGCAAGCCUGAUCCAGCAAUGCCGCGUGCAGGAUGAAGGCCUUCGGGUUGUAAACUGCUUUGUACGGAACGAAACGGUGAGCUCUAAUACAGUUUGCUAAUGACGGUACCGUAAGAAUAAGCACCGGCUAACUACGUG